rnacentral:tRNA from 1 species
GGAUGUAGCUCAAUGGUAGAGCAAUUGCCUAGCAUGCAUGAGGCCCUGGGUUCUGUCCCUGAUCCA